rnacentral:rRNA from 1 species
UACAGAGGGUGCAAGCGUUGUUCGGAAUUACUGGGCGUAAAGCGCGUGUAGGCUGCGAUGUAAGUCAGGCGUGAAAAGCCCCCGGGCUCAACCUGGGGAACGGCGCUUGGGACGGCGAGGCUGGAGUUCGGGAGAGGAGAGUGGAAUUCCCAGUGUAGAGGUGAAAAUUCGUAGAUAUUGGGAAGAACACCGGUGGCGAAAGCGGCUCUCUGGACCGACACUGACGCUGAGGCGCGAAAGCGUGGGGAGCAAACAGG